rnacentral:rRNA from 1 species
GAUGAACGCUGGCGGCGUGCCUAAUACAUGCAAGUCGAGCGAACGGACGAGAAGCUUGCUUCUCUGAUGUUAGCGGCGGACGGGUGAGGAACACGUGGAUAACCUACCGAUAAGACUGGGAUAACUUCGGGAAACCGUAGCUAAUACCGGAGAAUAUUUUGAACCGAAAGGUUCAAUAGUGAAAGACGGUCUUGCUGUCACUUAUAGAUGGAACCGCGCUGCAUUAUCUAAUUGGUAAGGUAACGGCAUACCAAGGCAACGAUGCAUAGACGACAUGAGAGGGUGGACGGCCACACGGGAACUGAGAGACAGUCGCCACACCUGAGCGGGGCAGCGGUACGGAAUCUUCCGCGAUGGGGGAGUGCCUGACAGAGCACCGCCGCGUGAGUGAUGAUGGUCUUCGGAUGGUAAAACUCUGUUAUUAGUGAAGAACAUAUGUGUAAGUAACUGUGCACAUCUUGACGGUACCUAAUCAGAAAGCCACGGCUAACUACGUG